rnacentral:lncRNA from 1 species
CAUUAGUUAAUCCAUAAAGUAUAACCUUGAACUCGUACUGUUGUACCAAUAUCAAAAGUUCGUCUUGGGAUAUCUUCUUCCUUCACUCUCAACUGAUAUUAACCCAAUCUGAGAUCAAUAUUCGAGAAAGCAAUAGCACCUUGUAAUUGAUCGAAGAGCUUAUCAAUAUGGGAGGAAAAGGUAAUUAUUUUUUACCAUCACUAGAUUAAGUUCUCUGUAGUCAAUACAUGAUCAGAGAGAACCAUCUUUCUUCUUUACAAAUAGCACUGAGGCACUCUAAGGCAAAUGGCUAGGAUGAAUGAAUUUUUGCCCAAGAAGGUCAGAGAGCUGGUGCUCAAGUUUAGCGAGUUCGGUGUGGUACAUGCGGUAAACAGGCUUUAAGAUUGGUUCAGUUCCUCAAAGUAGAUUGAUGGAAAAUUCUAUUUCUUGUGGGGGAGGUAGACCAAGUAGUUCCUCUAGAAAGACAUCCAAAAAGGUACAAACCAUAGGGAUU